rnacentral:rRNA from 1 species
AACGAACGCUGGCGGCGUGCCUAACACAUGCAAGUCGAGCGGGAAAGUUCCCUUCGGGGAGCAAGUACAGCGGCGAACGGGUGAGUAACACGUAGGUAACCUACCCUGGAGACCGGGAUAACCUGCCGAAAGGCGGGCUAAUACCGGAUAAGACCACGAGGGUUGCGGCCCUUGAGGUAAAAGAUGGCCUCUGCUUGCACGCUAUCACUCUGGGAUGCGCCUGCGCGCCAUUAGCUAGUUGGUGGGGUAACGGCUCACCAAGGCAGAGAUGGCUAGCUGGUCUGAGAGGAUGGCCAGCCACACUGGGACUGAGACACGGCCCAGACUCCUACGGGAGGCAGCAGUGGGGAAUAUUGCGCAAUGGGCGAAAGCCUGACACAGCGACGCCGCGUGGGUGAUGAAGGCCUUCGGGUCGUAAAGCCCUGUCAAGAGGGACGAAACCUCGUCGACCUAACACGUCGGCGACCUGACGGUACCUCUGAAGGAAGCACCGGCUAACUCCGUGCCAGCCGCCGCCGUAAAAC